GGAAAAUAAAAUUAAGAUCAAAGGAAUAUAUAUCCAACUUGAUGGGUAGGGAAAGGAAAAAGGUGACAGAUGAUGAACUGCUUAUUCCUCACUUCCUAUUUAGGAGAGAACAUUAAAAAUUGAACAAUGUCUAUUAAAAGCUAGUUUUUUGCAGUCAAUCAUAUUGGCUUUCCAUCCAACCAAUGCCUGUAGAAGUCCAAUGAUUCUCUUGGCUUGUAUUCUGGGACCGUAUGCCCUGCACCCUUAAUGGUUAGAAAGGUAAAGUUGUAAUCGUAUCCUUGCAAGUAACCAGCAACUUGAUCAUUAGAUAUCCAUGACCUCCAUUCAUCAACAAUCUUAUAUCCAAGGGAUCUGGUCCAUGCCUGAGUUCCAGUGAAAGGCACACACAUAUCAUGGUCUCCACUGUAU
rnacentral:misc_RNA from 1 species